GAUGAACGCUGGCGGCGUGCCUAAUACAUGCAAGUCGAGCGAACAGACGAGGAUCUUCCUCUUCUUACGUUAUCCGCGGGCGGGUGAGUAACACGUGAAUAGCCUACCUAUAACACUGAGCUAACUUAGGGAAACCGGAGAUUAUACCGGAUUAUAUAUUGAACCGCAUGGUUCAAUCGUUAAUGGCAGUUUUGCUUUCACUUAUAGAUGGAUCCGCGCCGCAUUAGCUAGUUGUUAAGGUAAUGGUUUACUAAGGCAACGGUGCGUAGCAGACCUGCGAGUGUGAUCGGCCACACUGGCACUGAGACACGGUCCAGACUCAGACGGGAGGCAGAAGUAGGGGAGCGGCAGCGAUGAGCGAAAGCGGGACGGAGCAGCGGCGAGGGAGUGAUGAAGGUGUUCGGAUCGUAAAACUCUGCUACUAGGGAAGAACAGAUGUGUAAGUAGCUAGGAACGUCUUGACGGUAGUGAAACAGAAAGCCACGGCUAACUACGUG
rnacentral:rRNA from 1 species